rnacentral:rRNA from 1 species
CGCGUAGGCGGUUUCUUAAGUCAGAUGUGAAAGCCCGGGGCUUAACCCCGGAAGUGCAUAUGAAACUAAGGGACUUGAGUAUGGGAGAGGGAAGUGGAAUUCCUGGUGUAGCGGUGAAAUGCGUAGAUAUCAGGAGGAACACCGGUGGCGAAGGCGACUUCCUGGACCAAUACUGACGCUGAGGCGCGAAGGCGUGGGGAGCAAACAGGAUUAGAUACCCUGGUAGUCC